GUUAACGUAGCUCAAACACCCAAAGCGAGGCACUGAAAAUGCCUAGAUGGGCUCACCCAGCCCCGUAAACA
rnacentral:tRNA from 1 species